rnacentral:rRNA from 1 species
UACGAAGGGGGCUAGCGUUGUUCGGAAUUACUGGGCGUAAAGCGCACGUAGGCUGAUUGUUAAGUCAGGGGUGAAAUCCCGGAGCUCAACUCCGGAACUGCCUUUGAUACUGGCAAUCCCGAGUCCGGAAGAGGUUAGUGGAAUUCCUAGUGUAGAGGUGAAAUUCGUAGAUAUUAAGAAGGACACCAGUGGCGAAGGCGGCUAACUGGUCCGGUACUGACGCUGAGGUGCGAAAGCGUGGGGAGCAAGCAGG